rnacentral:rRNA from 1 species
GACAAACUAGGCCAAGCUAAGAUAAGUACAGUAAAAAAGGGGGUUAGAAACUGACAAUUAAACUUAGAAACAAAAUUCAAGUGUAAUUUCUAAAAACUAAAAGAUUAAGUCUUCUGUAGAGGUGGAAUUUGUACAGAAUAAAGAGUCUAUUUCUUUUUUAUUUUGAAGCCCCGAAAUCUUGUCUAAAAACCGGGAUUAGAUACCCCGCUAUUCAAGAUGUAAAUUUUAAUUUUAAUAUUUUACUUGAGCAUUACGGGCCCUAUAAAUUACUCUUAUGGAAUGCACCUAAAACUCAAAAAACUUGGCGGUGCCUUAAAUCCUUUCAGGGGAACCUGUCCUAUAAUCGAUAGUCCACGAUUUACCUUUCCUUUUUUUGAAAAACCAGCCUGUAUACCGUCGUCGCCAGAUUACCUCUAAGAGAAAAGAAGUUAUCAACAAGGGAAGUAUAAAAUAAACUGUGAUAGUUCAGUAGUCAAAGUUAUAAUCCCUAAACGUCAGAUCAAGGUGCAGCCAAUAUUAAGGAAGAGAUGGGUUACAAUAAAUAUUAAAUGAAUUUCUUUUUGCAAGAUAAAAGUUUGAAAGCGGACUUGAAAGUAAUUAAAGAGAAAUAGAAAGUCUCGGUGAACAUGGCCCUAAGGCGUGC